UACGUAGGGAGCAAGCGUUGUCCGGAAUCAUUGGGCGUAAAGCGCGCGUAGGCGGCCCGAUAAGUCCGCUGUAAAAGUCAACGGCUCAACUGUUGAAAGCCGGUGGAUACUGUCGGGCUAGAGUACGGAAGAGGCAAGUGGAAUUCUUGGUGUAGCGGUGAAAUGCGUAGAUAUCAAGAGGAACACCUGAGGCGAAGGCGGGUUGCUAGGCUGACACUGACGCUGAGGCGCGAAAGCUAGGGUAGCAAACGGG
rnacentral:rRNA from 1 species